GCGCGAAAACUUUAUAAUGCUGGCAACAGCGAUAAGGGAACCUCGAGUGCCAGGUUACAAAUCUGGCUGUCGAGAUGCCUAAAAAGCAUUUCAUAGCAAGGGCCGGGCAAGACCGGUGCCAGCCGCCGCGGUAACACCGGCGGCUCGAGUGGUAACCGUUAUUAUUGGGUCUAAAGGGUCUGUAGCCGGCCGGAUAAGUCUCUUGAGAAAUCUGGCAGCUUAACUGUCAGGCUUUCAGGAAAUACUGUCUGGCUCGAGGCCGGGAGAGGUGAGAGGUACUUCAGGGGUAGGGGUGAAAUCUUGUAAUCCUUGAAGGACCACCAGUGGCGAAGGCGUCUCACCAGAACGGACCUGACGGCAAGGGACGAAAGCUAGGGGCACGAACCG
rnacentral:rRNA from 1 species